rnacentral:rRNA from 1 species
GUGGAAGCGUCUGGAAAGGCGCGCGAUACAGGGUGACAGCCCCGUACACAAAAAUGCACAUGCUGUGAGCUCGAUGAGUAGGGCGGGACACGUGGUAUCCUGUCUGAAUAUGGGGGGACCAUCCUCCAAGGCUAAAUACUCCUGACUGACCGAUAGUGAACCAGUACCGUGAGGGAAAGGCGAAAAGAACCCCGGCGAGGGGAGUGAAAAAGAACCUGAAACCGUGUACGUACAAGCAGUGGGAGCACAGAGCAAUCUGUGUGACUGCGUACCUUUUGUAUAAUGGGUCAGCGACUUAUAUUCUGUAGCAAGGUUAACCGAAUAGGGGAGCCGAAGGGAAACCGAGUCUUAACUGGGCGUUAAGUUGCAGGGUAUAGACCCGAAACCCGGUGAUCUAGCCAUGGGCAGGUUGAAGGUUGGGUAACACUAACUGGAGGACCGAACCGACUAAUGUUGAAAAAUUAGCGGAUGACUUGUGGCUGGGGGUGAAAGGCCAAUCAAACCGGGAGAUAGCUGGUUCUCCCCGAAAGCUAUUUAGGUAGCGCCUCGUGAAUUCAUCUCCGGGGGUAGAGCACUGUUUCGGCAAGGGGGUCAUCCCGACUUACCAACCCGAUGCAAACUGCGAAUACCGGAGAAUGUUAUCACGGGAGACACACGGCGGGUGCUAACGUCCGUCGUGAAGAGGGAAACAACCCAGACCGCCAGCUAAGGUCCCAAAGUCAUGGUUAAGUGGGAAACGAUGUGGGAAGGCCCAGACAGCCAGGAUGUUGGCUUAGAAGCAGCCAUCAUUUAAAGAAAGCGUAAUAGCUCACUGGUCGAGUCGGCCUGCGCGGAAGAUGUAACGGGGCUAAACCAUGCACCGAAGCUGCGGCAGCGACGCUUAUGCGUUGUUGGGUA